rnacentral:rRNA from 1 species
CCUACGGGAGGCAGCAGUGGGGAAUAUUGGGCAAUGGGCGCAAGCCUGACCCAGCAACGCCGCGUGAAGGAAGAAGGCUUUCGGGUUGUAAACUUCUUUUGUCAGGGACGACGCAAGUGACGGUACCUGACGAAUAAGCCACGGCUAACUACGUGCCAGCAGCCGCGGUACUACGUAGGUGGCAAGCAUUAUCCGGAUUUACUGGGUGUAAAGGGCGUGUAGGCGGGACUGCAAGUCAGAUGUGAAAACCACGGGCUCAACCUGUGGCCUGCAUUUGAACCUGUAGGUCUGGAGUACUGGAGAGGCAGAAGGAAUGCCGAGUGUAGCGGUGAAAUGCGUAGAGAUUAGGAGGAACACCAGUGGCGAAGGCGGUCUGCUGGACAGCAACUGACGCUGAGGCGCGAAAGCGUGGGGAGCAAACAGGAUUAGAUACCCCUGUAGUC